CCUACGGGAGGCAGCAGUGGGGAAUAUUGCACAAUGGGGGAAACCCUGAUGCAGCGACGCCGCGUGAGUGAAGAAGUAAUUCGUUACGUAAAGCUCUAUCAGCAGGGAAGAAAUACUGACCUUACGGUCAGCAGACGGUAUCUGAGUAAGAAGCCCUGGCUAUCUACGUGCCAGCAGCCGCGGUAAUACGCAGGGGGGAAGCGUUAUUCGGAUUUACUGGGUGCAAAGGGAGCGUAGACGGUGCGCCAAGUCUGGAGUGAAAUGCCGCAGCUUAACUGCGGAACUGCUUUGGAAACUGGCGAACUAGAGUGCGGGAGGGGUAAGCGGAAUGCCUAGUGUAGCGGUGAAAUGCGUAGAUAUUAGGAGGAACCCCAGUGGCGAAGGCGGCUUACUGGACUGUAACUGACGUUGAGGCUCGAAAGCGUGGGGAGCGAACAGGAUUAGAUACCCGGGUAGUC
rnacentral:rRNA from 1 species